UUUCUUCUGCUGUCAGCAUGGCAAUGUCAGUUAGAGCUGUGUGGUCCAGCUUGUUCUGGAUGCGUUCAGUAGCAACCUGUAAGCAGACCCCACUGCAGAAUGGAGCUAUGUAUCGUGCUUGCCAUAAAUCUACAUAUUCAGUUCUCCCUGAAGACUACAAUUGCAAAGUGGAACUUGCGGUGACAUCAGAUUUGAAGACAAUUGUCUGCUACCACCCUUCGCUUGAGAUUCCAUACGAGCAUACAAAACCCGUACCACGGCCAGAUCCAGUGAAUAAUAAAGAAGAAACCCUUGAUCAAGUUUUGAAAUCCAGAUUGAAUGAAAAAGAUCUAAAGAACAAUAGCGGUCCUACAAUUGAAGAGCUCAGCAAAAUGUUUUACACAACAAAACAUCGCUGGUAUCCUGUGGGACAAUACCACAGAAGACGCAAGAAUCCUAAUCCUCCUAAAGAUCGAUAAUUAAGAUAACUUCUUGUUCGUCAGCGCUUUGCUGUUGAUCUUUAUUGGAAAUAAAAAUUACAGAAAAGGAGAUCCUUUACUCCAGUCUACAAUUUUAGGCAUCAGACUUCUGAUAGAAAGAGCUGGCUUAGAACAUUGUGCCUCUGCAGAGAUCCCAGUGACUUCAUAAUGUCUCCUAAGGAGAUCCUUAUACAUAAUAAAAAAAGAAUUAUCCCAUAUAUGUAAUUCAUUUUGAUUGUAUUUCCUUUCUAAAGCAACUUUGGUAAGCUAGGAAGGUUCUCGUUUCUUCUGUUAGUUUAAUUUUGCCAGCAUGUGAUACCUACAGAUUUUGCUCGGAGUACCUCAUAAAGUCUCUAAUCCUGUCACUGUUAGUAUAAAACAUGCUUAUUUUUCUGAGGUUAUUACCAAAUAACCUUUUUCCUUUAAUUUCCUUUAAUUAAUUUAAUUUCCUUAACACGAUGUUGGAUGUGUGUAAAAGUCUGCCUCUAAAUACUUCUGGAAAAUUUUAUGUGAAGCUAGUUGAAGUAUUUCUUGGUAUUAUUUUUAAAAAUACAUUUUUAAAUCCAAAUGCCAGUUAGCUGAUAAUGGCUUAUCAUGGCAGAGCAUGGAAUCAUUUUGCGUACUCUUUCAGUUAAGAUAUCUGAGUCCAUGUUUAAGCCUACACCAGCCAAAUUAUUUUGGCUCCACAUUAUACUAUAUGUUGCUUGUGUGAUAACAAACGCGGUAUCAUGAAGGAAUGUCUAUUGUGUCUAUGAAAAGGACCACUGCUUAUUCUGCAAGUUCAAUUGCAUGAAAAUGGUUAUUUUUUUCUGCCUAGAAUAUAACCUUAAAAAAAAGUCUUCAGUGAUUUGCAGUACAACAGAUUUUAGUAUUUUCAUCUAUUUAUGGUGCCUGGUACUGAUACGGGUCCUUAAGCGAGAAGCUUACAUCUCAUGUUUAGAGUUUUGUUACAUUCCACUGCAUAAAAUCAAGCCCUUUUUAUUUCUGUAAAACUGAGACCCAAUUUGUCACUGUUCAACUUUACACCAGUGUAAAAAGAGAUAUCCUUGGACUAAUUUAAACUUUCAGUUAUUUUUCCCCCUUCUCCCUGAUGCUUUUGCUUAUUGCUGCCUAAUACUAUUAAGGCAUUUUGCUUUACAGAAACCUUGUUACUACAUUUGUCUUUUCUGGCCUGUCAAACCCUGUUUGUGAUCAAACAUCCACAAUCACUGUAGAAAUGGUGGAUUUCUCAAUGUUUCCCAAGCAUUUCUGGAUGCUUUUCAGGCAUUUUGAGGCCUAAAAAAUCUAUGAUGUGCUGGACUGCUGUACUUUAAAUGUCUUCUGACCAGCUACUGGAAACUGAGUCUAAAACACGUUCCCUACAUAUACCCUCUGCCAUUUUGUUGCUACGUUAAUUCGUAAAAUUGGUAUUUUAAAAUCUUUCCCUGCAUUACACUGCCGCUCAGUCUUUCUAUGCUCUCAUCUACUAAAUCUUUCUUCUGGGUCAUCUGAAGCAUGACUUAAUUAAAAUCCUACUCUCUCAGUAAUUCCAAGCUGUUCCCGAUUUUCUAGUCUUGAACAUCUACAUAAAGCUGUCUUUAUCUGUUUCUCUUCACUUAAACUUGGAAUUAGAAAUCCAUCCAUUUGAUUCUUGUCCCACUUCAUGCAAAAGAAUGAUCCCUUUGAAAGUUAAUCUGGGAUUUCUUAUUUUCUGUUGCUCUUGGUCUUUGUAAUUGAAAACUUAAGUUGCAUAAAAUUUACAAUGUUGUUAA